rnacentral:tRNA from 1 species
GCAGUCGUGGCCGAGUGGUUACGGUGAUGGACUAGAAAUCCCUUGGGGUCUCCCCGCACAGGUUCGAAUCCUGUCGACUGCG